rnacentral:rRNA from 1 species
UAGGGAAUCUUCGGCAAUGGGGGCAACCCUGACCGAGCAACGCCGCGUGAGUGAAGAAGGUUUUCGGAUCGUAAAGCUCUGUUGUAAGAGAAGAACGUGUGUGAGAGUGGAAAGUUCACACAGUGACGGUAACUUACCAGAAAGGGACGGCUAACUACGUGCCAGCAGCCGCGGUAAUACGUAGGUCCCGAGCGUUGUCCGGAUUUAUUGGGCGUAAAGCGAGCGCAGGCGGUUUAAUAAGUCUGAAGUUAAAGGCAGUGGCUUAACCAUUGUUCGCUUUGGAAACUGUUAAAUUUGAGUGCAGAAGGGGAGAGUGGAAUUCCAUGUGUAGCGGUGAAAUGCGUAGAUAUAUGGAGGAACACCGGUGGCGAAAGCGGCUCUCUGGUCUGUAACUGACGCUGAGGCUCGAAAGCGUGGGGAGCAAACAGG